UACGGAGGGAGCUAGCGUUGUUCGGAAUUACUGGGCGUAAAGCGCACGUAGGCGGCUUAGCAAGUCGGAAGUGAAAUCCCUCGGCUCAACCAAGGAAGUGCUUUCGAAACUGCUGAGCUUGAGUACGAAAGAGGAUCGCGGAAUUCCCGGUGUAGAGGUGAAAUUCGUAGAUAUCGGGAGGAACACCAGUGGCGAAGGCGGCGAUCUGGGUCGAUACUGACGCUGAGGUGCGAAAGCGUGGGGAGCAAACAGG
rnacentral:rRNA from 1 species